rnacentral:rRNA from 1 species
GGUUAAGCGACUAAGCGUACACGGUGGAUGCCUAGGCAGUCAGAGGCGAUGAAGGGCGUGCUAAUCUGCGAAAAGCGUCGGUAAGGUGAUAUGAACCGUUACAACCGACGAUACCCGAAUGGGGAAACCCAGUGCAAUUCGUUGCACUAUUGCAUGGUGAAUACAUAGCCAUGCAAGGCGAACCGGGGGAACUGAAACAUCUAAGUACCCCGAGGAAAAGAAAUCAACCGAGAUUCCCCCAGUAGCGGCGAGCGAACGGGGAG